GGAUAUGUGGCUCAGUGGUAGAGUGUUUGCCUAGAAUGCAAGAGGCCAAGGGUUUGAUCCCUGGAACCA
rnacentral:tRNA from 1 species